GGAGUUAGCCGGUGCUUCUUCUGCGAGUAACGUCACAGAUGUAAGGUAUUAACUUACACCCUUUCCUCCUCGCUGAAAGUGCUUUACAACCCGAAGGCCUUCUUCACACACGCGGCAUGGCUGCAUCAGGGUUUCCCCCAUUGUGCAAUAUUCCCCACUGCUGCCUCCCGUAGGAGUCUGGGCCGUGUCUCAGUCCCAGUGUGGCUGAUCAUCCUCUCAGACCAGCUAGGGAUCGUCGCCUAGGUGAGCCUUUACCUCACCUACUAGCUAAUCCCACCUGGGCUUAUCCAUCAGCGCAAGGCCCGAAGGUCCCCUGCUUUCCCCCGUAGGGCGUAUGCGGUAUUAGCAGUCGUUUCCAACUGUUAUCCCCCACAAAUGGGCAAAUUCCCCAGGCAUUACUCACCCGUCCGCCGCUCGUCAUCUUCAAAAGCAAGCUUUUGAAAUGUUACCGCUCGACUUGCAUGUGUUAGGCCUGCCGCCAGCGUUCAAUCUGAGCCAUAAUCAAACUCUGA
rnacentral:rRNA from 1 species